rnacentral:rRNA from 1 species
CGAGCGCACUCUUCGGAGUGAGCGGCGGACGGGUUAGUAACGCGUGGGAACGUGCCCUUCUCUAAGGAAUAGCCACUGGAAACGGUGAGUAAUACCUUAUACGCCCUUCGGGGGAAAGAUUUAUCGGAGAAGGAUCGGCCCGCGUUAGAUUAGAUAGUUGGUGGGGUAAUGGCCUACCAAGUCUACGAUCUAUAGCUGGUUUUAGAGGAUGAUCAGCAACACUGGGACUGAGACACGGCCCAG